UCGGGUUGUAAAGCACUUUUGUCCGGGAAGAAAUCCUUGAUCCUAAUAUGGUCGGGGGAUGACGGUACCGGAAGAAUAAGCACCGGCUAACUACGUGCCAGCAGCGCGGUAAUCGUAGGGUGCGAGCGUUAAUCGGAAUUACUGGGCGUAAAGCGUGCGCAGGCGGUUCGCUAAGACCGAUGUGAAAUCCCCGGGCUUAACCUGGGAACUGCAUUGGUGACUGGCGAGCUAGAGUGUGGCAGAGGGGGGUAGAAUUCCACGUGUAGCAGUGAAAUGCGUAGAGAUGUGGAGGAAUACCGAUGGCGAAGGCAGCCCCCUGGGCUAACACUGACGCUCAUGCACGAAAGCGUGGGGAGCAAACAGGAUUAGAUACCCUGGUAGUCCACGCCCUAAACGAUGUCAACUAGUUGUUGGGGAUUCAUUUCCUUAGUAACGUAGCUAACGCGUGAAGUUGACCGCCUGGGGAGUACGGUCGCAAGAUUAAAACUCAAAGGAAUUGACGGGGACCCGCACAAGCGGUGGAUGAUGUGGAUUAAUUCGAUGCAACGUGAAAAACCUUACCUACCCUUGACAUGGACGGAAUCUUGCUG
rnacentral:rRNA from 1 species